rnacentral:sRNA from 1 species
UGACAGUCCUGGUGAGUGAAGUCCUCUAUACAUCCACAGAAUAGGUACAGCACUGGCAGCUGUGCUGUUAUCUUCCUCUACUCUGACCCACAAAUGUGCCUCAACCAAAACCUACAAGGAUCAUCCUUAAGGUAAUUCAACUUCCAGAGCCAGUGCUUUGGCCUUU